ensembl:lncRNA
CCGGGCUUCUGCCGCUCCCGUACGUUCUCCUCCGGGCGCCGUUGGAGGAAGCGCUUUCCUCGGGGAGUCCGACACAGCACCCGAGAGACUGCUCGGCGUCCGCAGCGCCCUUCGAGCGGCCGGGCAGCGCCCUCCAUCCCCCCGUCCAAUGACGCCCCACGGGAUUUCGAUCGCCAGGUCAACCGCAGCUUUCACGUUGGGUGGAAGUGUGGAUUUGCAGUCUUCUGGUUCUGCCUUCAGAAAUACCCCGUGUGCCAUCCAUGCUGCAGAACACGUUCUGCCUGAGGGUGCCCGCGAAGGAAUAAGUUACAGAUGCUGGGGAAGAGAGUUCUAGGAGAUGUCUAGCACAUCCAGCUAACUCAAAUGAGCUGCACCAUCUUACUCAGAGGCCUGUACUUUUCAGUAGCAGACCAGAUAUUCAGGCUUUUCAUUCCCUCCCUGGCUCUGCCCCUAGCUCUGACACAAAUCAAAUCUACAAAAGCACAUUGUCCUUACCUCAACUGUGUGCCAGCCUGGACAUGUUCAAAUGAAAACCUGGGCUACGCUGUGAUCUUUGCUCUUGCUACCACGAUACGUGCAGUGAAGAGGGAGAUUGCCUCAGAUACAUCUGGAAUACAGCAAUUCAAAGCAACCCCCUCUCAUCUUUGAUUUGAAUUUGCUGUGCUUUCCAUCAUCGCCAAAGGGGAGCUCCUACCUCUGACACACAGAUAGGCGUCUGCUGCAUGAGUUGGCUGAGCGCUGCAGCCUGCCCAUCUGGAACAUGGAUAAACUCCCCCAGCGACUGGAGGAGUGACUUCGCCCUUUACUUGGCGCAGUCCUCAAUUAAGCAUGCAGAUAAGCCUGAGUCAAGGCUUUGGUAUGAGCGGCGCUGCCAGGAGCUGCGUGCUCGGAAUGGAGGUUACAGCCCGUGCCGAGGUGAAGCGCCCGCAGCCAGCUGUGCCCUGCCUGCCUCCCCUGCCUCCCACCGGACGCCCCUUCGCCCAUCUGCAGAAAAGGAGCUUUCCAACGCCUCCCCGCCACCGCACCGCUCGCCCAGGGAUCAUGCCCAUUGAGAAGCUCUCGGCCUAAUAGUAAUCCCGACGAAUUUAGCCGCUGCUAAUAAAUCCCACCCCUCCGCCCCUCCCAACCUGCCUCCAUGCAAAUCCAUUUGUAGGUUACUUGAACAAUAGCGGGGCUGCGAUCGGCCCUCCCUGCUGGCAGCCCGCAGGGAGGGAGGGGAGGAGGAUGAUGACAGCGGGGAAUUCUGCUCGGCUCCUUGAAGCUGCACAGACAUGUUUCGUGUCCCCGUUCCCAGCCCCAGCGUGGAGGCAGCCGGCCGGGCGGGGAUCGCCGCGCACACGCUUCCCGGCCCCGCACAGCCGGGUUCGGCCCCAGCCAGCGCUGCAGUCGCGUUGCCAGCCCCAGCCCUUGCUCACAGGGUGUGGAACGAAGUGGGGGGCCUCCGCGCUGGCAAAAAAAACGAGUCCUCCCGAAUAGAGCAGGCACAGGGCAGCGCUCAGCCAGU